UUUUGGGGACUCUGAUGAGAGUGAAGAAGAGCCAGAAAAUUCAGCUGGUGUAUCAGUUGGAGCCUCAAGCCCAAACCAAUUACACUGGCAGACUCCACCAUCUCACUGAGUGCCAUGCAGCAGAGUCACUACUCCUCAACCUGGAGGAAACUGUCUAGCACCUGACCAUGGGGCCGGACCCCAACACCCUUCACCACCUCAACUCCCUGCACCAGUAUUUAACAUGAGGAGAGUUACUCAAGGAACGGCAGUCCCUCCUCAACUCCCUCCACCUCCCGCACCGGCCCUCAACAUGAGGCGAACAGAGGCGCCCUCUUCAAGCCUGGCCUACAGACCAACAUGGCGAGGGGGAGGAAUGACCGAUACCAUUCCCUGCUCUGUGGCUGAGGUCCACAUCCUUAGCCUGCUGGAGACCAUUAAACAGCAACAAGACCAGCGAACAGCACCCCGGGGCCAGAUGUUGAGAUGCCGGACAAUAUCCAGUUUCCCCUGGAACAAUUGGAGGCAGUGGAGGCAUUUGAAAUGUUUUUAAAGGAACCGUCAAAUGGCCCAGCUCGACAGAGCGUGGUGCUGUGAGGAAAAACACAGUGACACGGUCAGCCACGGACACAGAGGUCACCAAACACGCAAUCAGGUGGUUC